GUAGGGUGCGAGCGUUAAUCGGAAUUACUGGGCGUAAAGCGUGCGUAGGCGGUUCGCUAAGUCCUGUGUGAAAGCCCCGGGCUCAACUCGGGAAUGGCAUGGGAAACUGACGAGCUGGAGUGUGGCAGAGGGGGGUGGAAUUCCGCGUGUAGCAGUGAAAUGCGUAGAGAUGCGGAGGAACACCGAUGGCGAAGGCAGCCCCCUGGGCCAACACUGACGCUGAGGGCACGAAAGCGUGGGGAGCAAACAGGAUUAGAUACCCUGGUAGUCCACGCCCUAAACGAUGUCGACUGGGUGUCGGGGGAGCGAUCCCUUGGUACCGUAGCUAACGCGUGAAGUCGACCGCCUGGGGAGUACGGCCGCAAGGUUAAA
rnacentral:rRNA from 1 species